rnacentral:rRNA from 1 species
AUUGAACGCUGGCGGAAUGCUUUACACAUGCAAGUCGAGCGGCAGCGCGGGGCAACCUGGCGGCGAGCGGCGAACGGGUGAGUAAUACAUCGGAACGUGCCCAGACGUGGGGGAUAACUACUCGAAAGAGUGGCUAAUACCGCAUACGAUCUAAGGAUGAAAGCGGGGGAUCGCAAGACCUCGCGCGUCUGGAGCGGCUGAUGGCAGAUUAGGUAGUUGGUGGGGUAAAGGCUUACCAAGCCUGCGAUCUGUAGCUGGUCUGAGAGGAUGAUCAGCCACACUGGGACUGAGACACGGCCCAGACUCCUACGGGAGGCAGCAGUGGGGAAUUUUGGACAAUGGGGGAAACCCUGAUCCAGCAAUGCCGCGUGUGUGACGAAGG